UGUUUUGUAGCUAAACGGUCGAGCGUGGCGCUUGCAACGCCGAGGUCUAAGGUUCGAUUCCCACGGCGCAU